rnacentral:lncRNA from 1 species
UGAAUUUUAUCAAAAUCUACAUUAUAUAACAGUGUUUACGGAUGCGAGAUACAAUAUUUGCUGUUUAACAAUCAACUGAGCAAGCAGGUACCAAACAAACAGCUGCACCGUAAGUGGUCUUCGAAAAGCAGCAUUCCACGGAUAGAAGCAAAUAUGUCUUCCCUGAGAAUAUAAUGCCAGGUGAUUUAUGACCACUCACCGUCGCAAUACUGUCACCAGCAUUGAACUUCAAAGCAUGGAGACAUGAAACAUUAACCAAACCAAGGUGAAUAUUAAACGACACAUUAAAAUAGCAAUAUUAACAGUCAGCUAAAACAGGCCACAGCAUCUGCUGCACUGUUGUAGUUAGGGGGCAUGACACUUCUUCCAACAGACGGCAUGAUAGUAGUACACUUAAUUUACAGGGGAAGAACAACCAACUGAGUUUUGCAAGAACACUACUGUGAUCUUGAGUGUUGAUCAAGACGAGCAGCAUCCGUUUUGCUGGGCAACAGGCUGACCCCGCAUUUGCACGGUGGCAGGCUUGCUGGCAU